GCCAAAUUACAACUACGUCAUAUCAAGUAUGCAAUUGUGCUUAGACUCGCGUGGAUGCAGCAGUGCCAAGGUCAUACCAGCAAGGCUGGAGCUAAGCUAAUACUAUGAGAAGGAGUUGAUCGGUUGGAAUAACAUGCAACAUUGAGUUUGGCAAUGUCUGUCACACUGCUCUAAGGCAGUAUCUGAUGUGUUGAUGAUCUUCUUACUGGACAGAGUACUUCUCAAGUCGCGAAUAUGGUGGAUUCUGACGAACCAAUUUUGAAAGCCUGAGAAGGAUGAGGGAGUGUAAAUAGCAGUUAGUUUGUAUCAAAAAAUGAU
rnacentral:misc_RNA from 1 species